UCAAAUCACUCCUGGAAGGGGCAUAUGGGGUUCAUCAAUUAAUUGUUGGUUGAUGAUGUAUUUGGUUCAAGUAAGAAGUUUUUUCUUUCUUUUUUUCCUUAUUUUCUUAUCUUUCUAUUUCUAUGGAGGACAAUGACGAUAGCUUCAUGGUUCGCUCGUCGUGCAUAAUGGCAGUAUUGCCUUGACGACACCACAUCAUAUUUCUGAGUCCUCUCUCUUGAACAAAUUCCUUCUCUCCCUCAACUUUCUGUUGAUCUCCUAUUUUCUACCAAAUCAAAUACAGUCUUAUCGCUCAUUUUUUUCUUUUAUUUCAAAAGAAAAGGAUUCUGCUAUCAUAUUUUCUUCAAAAAAGUGGAUUGAGGAACUACUGAUUUAUGUCCAAGUCCACAUAAAGUUAAUGAUCCACUAACGAGAUUAAGGUUAGAAAUUAAAAAGAAAAAUCAUUUUUUUGAUUUGAAAUUACCGGUGAUGAUCGUUAAUGAUAACAGUUUCUCUCUCUCUGCCCAUCUAUCUUUCUUUAAUCUUCUUAUGAUUUUCAGCUUCUUUGUAGCUAAAGCCUAAAAGACCCCUCACCGUGAACAUUCAUUGAUCCAAUAUAGUGCCUCUUAUGGAUGGAUUGCCUUUUUCAUUCCCAAACCCAUCACCUUUGAUCUCAAACCCAUUUGUUUUUCCUCCAAAUUUCCGAAACCCAUUAAACCCAUCACACAAGUGAACUGUUAUGUCCUUAAUAAAAAAAUGGCUUGGCAAGCAAGUGGUGUAGAUGUCUAUAAUGGGAAGGAGAAAGAAUUAAUUAGGGAUGAUAAUUUUUCUCAUAAAAUCAGGGCUCCGCCCUACUCUGAACAGUGUGGGGAAAAUAUUUUUGCCCUGAACACAGGAAGGGAUUGGGUUUGCAUAUAAUUCCUUAAAGCCAAUGAUACAUUUAUAAAAUAUCUCUAAAUUUAAUAUUAAUUUUUAAAAUAUCUUUAAGUUUAUCCUAAAUUCUUAUCCCAUAAUUCCAUUUCUAACGUACCCUAAAUUAUCAUAAUUCAAUUUAUAAAAUAUUCAUAAAUUCUUAUAAUCCUAUUUAUAAAAUACUCAUCUUUUUAAAUAGUUGACUUGGAGUGAAAAAAAUUCAAGAAUUCCUUGCCCCCAAAGUGGGGCAAAGCAUCUUGACUAUGGACAGGGACAGGGAAGGGUAUACCACCCCGAACCUGCCCUAUUGCCCAUUCCUAGAUUUAACUCCUCUCUUAAUCCUUUUCUACUUUAUAAAACAUGUAAAAUAUAUAUUUACUAGGGUUUGACUAUAAUAUCAUAAAAACUUAUUAUGAACCACAAAACUGGUAAGGAAUUAAAUGCUUUUUAAAAUUUCAUAGGGCAUUUUGAUAGAUAUCGGGUAUCCUAAGGACAAAGUUCAAACAAGUUCCAAACUCUAAAAAACUCCCAUAAAAUUGCCAUACCUUCCCUUAUAGUUGCAAGAACAGUUUCUCACUCGGAAUAAUCUCUCAUCGUUCAUCCCUUGAGAAUGACACCGGAGAAACCAAUUUUUUUAUUUGACUGUAAGAUUACAGUCCCCACGAACUCGAGACAAAAUCAUACACACCCGGCUGAACUACUUAUGUUAUGUUGAAUAUGCCAGUGGAUUCCAUCUGGGACUCAGCUAUACUGGAUACUGGCGUGUUCAACCGUGAUAGAUAGUUUAGCCGGGUGUAUAUGUUUUUGUAUUCAGCUAAUCCGCUCUCGUAAGAUCACCCUAAGGCAUACGUCCAUUGUCCACCCUUCACACAAACAUUUCCUUCGUUCUUAUCCUUCAUAAACCUUGGGGCUUUUUAACAGGAAAAAAAGAAAAAUAACAUACAAGUUGCUUUUCAUCACCUUUGUUUGUAAAAAAUUCCAGUUUAUUCUUAGAAAUCUUAGCUCCAUGAGGCAAUUGGGGUAGGUGUCAGAUCGGAAUUGAUGCCGAUUCAAAAGCAGUUCAGACCAAGUUCAGGGCAUUCCAGCCAUUUUAAUGGAGCUUUCACCACUACUGCUUGUAAAACAAUAAAAGGAAAAAAGGAAGUUCUCAGUAAUUUUUCACGGAACAGUAACAGAAAAGAGUAAAAAUACAGGAACGAAUUCAUUCUGUUCUUUGAUUUUUUUUUCACGAACCUGUGUUUCUUCUAUCAUCGCCACGAGAUAACCCCUUUCCGGCUUCUGCAGAUUUUUCAAGAAUUCCAAGUAAAAAUAAAAAUAAUAACCGAACUCCCGUCGAUAGCCAUUUGUUUUGUUUGAAGUCUACUAGCCUUCUUAGAUUUGUAAAAAUACCUUGGCUUCAUAUAAUAAUAAUAAUAAUUAGAAGAAGAAGAAGAGAAAUAACAAAACUGCGAUUAAGCGUUACUGUUAAAGUAGUCGUAUCUCUUCUUCUUCCUCUUAUUCAGUGACAGCAUCACUUCAAUCCGUCCUUCAUACAUGCAACCACACCCGUCAAACCUCACAAGCUCCACUGCAUAUCGUACCGGGGUUGAGGACCCUAUAGCCAACGGAAUUCGUGCUCUGCCCAUUAUCAUCUCAUCGUUGGAACUUCCAACAUCGCCGAGAAAACCGACCCUAAGGACCUCCAAUUUCAAGGAAGAAGAGGCAAUGGGUUUGUUGAUGCGAAUGCUGAAUGUUCGGCUCCAGCAAGGGUCUAGGUUGCCAACGACGUUAGGAGUAUUCCUGCAUCUCCUGUUGGGUAUUGGCGUGAGCUGUAAAACUAGGGGAUAUCCUUUGAAUUCAGGGAUAAAUCUCAUCCUAAGUUGUAUGUAACUAGGAGAGGUAGAACCAGAAUCUAUGUAUAAUUAGGAGAUGUUUGUAUUAUGAGUAUAUAUAUUUCUCAACUCCUGCAAAGGACGAAAUAAGAAGAACAGAGGAAGAGUUUAUC